rnacentral:rRNA from 1 species
ACGAACGCUGGCGGCGUGCUUAACCCAUGCAAGUCGAACGGAAAGGCCCCUUUGGGGGUACUCGAGUGGCGAACGGGUGAGUAACACGUGAGUAACCUGCCCUUGACUUCGGGAUAACUUCAGGAAACUGGGGCUAAUACCGGAUAGGAAUCCUUGCUGCAUGGUGGGGGUUGGAAAGCUUCGGCGGUUUUGGAUGGACUCGCGGCUUAUCAGCUUGUUGGUGGGGUAGUGGCUUACCAAGGCUUUGACGGGUAGCCGGCCUGAGAGGGCGACCGGCCACAGUGGGACUGAGAUACGGCCCAGACUCCUACGGGAGGCAGCAGUGGGGAAUAUUGCACAAUGGGCGGAAGCCUGAUGCAGCAACGCCGCGUGCGGGAUGACGGCCUUCGGGUUGUAAACCGCUUUCAGCAGGGGCGAAGCUUGUGGUGACGGUACCUGCAGAAGAAGCACCGGCUAACUACGUG